rnacentral:rRNA from 1 species
AAGCUUGCUUCUCUUGAGAGCGGCGGACGGGUGAGUAAUGCCUAGGAAUCUGCCUGGUAGUGGGGGAUAACGUUCGGAAACGGACGCUAAUACCGCAUACGUCCUACGGGAGAAAGCAGGGGACCUUCGGGCCUUGCGCUAUCAGAUGAGCCUAGGUCGGAUUAGCUAGUUGGUGAGGUAAUGGCUCACCAAGGCGACGAUCCGUAACUGGUCUGAGAGGAUGAUCAGUCACACUGGAACUGAGACACGGUCCAGACUCCUACGGGAGGCAGCAGUGGGGAAUAUUGGACAAUGGGCGAAAGCCUGAUCCAGCCAUGCCGCGUGUGUGAAGAAGGUCUUCGGAUUGUAAAGCACUUUAAGUUGGGAGGAAGGGCAGUUACCUAAUACGUGAUUGUUUUGACGUUACCGACAGAAUAAGCACCGGCUAACUCUGUGCCAGCAGCCGCGGUAAUACAGAGGGUGCAAGCGUUAAUCGGAAUUACUGGGCGUAAAGCGCGCGUAG